AUGGAUCACAACCCACAAAUUCUAUGCUGGAACGUGAGAGGAUUAAACAAUCCAGCUAAGAGGAAAGUAGUUAGAGAGUUCAUUGCCUCAUUGAGAGUCAACGUGGUGUGUUUACAGGAGACCAAAUUGGACACUGUGGAUCAAUUUUUAGUUUUGCAAUGCAUUGGGCCAUCUUUUGAUGGUUUUUCUUAUUUGCCUGCGGUGGAAACGCGUGGA
rnacentral:rRNA from 1 species